GAACUGUGAUCUCAGGCAACUUAUAAUUUCUUAUCUAGGCGUUGCCUAGAUAAGAAAUAAUUUUGCAUAUAUCGGGGAAUCGUGAGGAUUUUAUCGGUGAGUAUUCGCACUCGGAAGGGCAAUGAUGAAGAUUAAAAUGUAUUGAAUAAUCGGACAUAGUACGAUAAGGUUGUAUGUCUAAAGGGAAACAGCCCAGAACAAGAGUUAAGGUUCCAAAAUUAUUGUUAAGUGAAACUAAGGAAGUUUCUAUCUAAUACAACUAGGAAAUAGGCUUAGAAGCGGCUAUUUUUUGAAGACCUCGUAACAGAGCACUGGUUUAGUAAACAAAAUUUACAUUGAUAGUUGCACCGAAAAUUUAACGGAUCUAAACAGUAUACCGACACCUUGUCCAUAUUGUUAAAUAUGAUUUAUAAUUUAACUAUGGGGUAGCAGAACGUUGGGUAAAUUUAGGACAUAUUCUUUUUAAGAGUAUAAAAUUGACUGUGGCAGGUUAAGAAAAUACCCCAAGUGAGAAUGCUGACAUGAGUAACGAAAAAGGGCUCCUUUGCGUUCGUUUUGAUAACAAAACUCAGAUUGAAACAUUGAAGAUAGCAAUAGGUACUACACUAGCCCGUGAGACUAGACCUAUUAAAACUAGAACGUAGAAAAUAAUAUGGAAGGAGGUAUUUAACAAAAGAUGCCAUAGCCCUCGCCUAAAGCUUAUGGAUUUAUUAAAGUAACGGCCUCUAAGUUUAUUAACCUAAAGGAUUAAACGAUGAGUAAACCUUACCUACAAAGUAACAACAUCUUCUUGCCCUGUGAUAAUGUUUAUACUCGCCCCUGCUCGUGUUUUUUUUUAUAUAAAGCAAAGGGAGAGUGAUAAUAUUUACACUCUGUAAGAAAAGUGAAGAAGGUUCUGGAAAAACUUGUAACAAGUAAUGUUUAUUUUAUCAUUUUAAAUGUACUAAAAUAUAUGAAGAAUGACGAAAUAAGGCUAAAUAAACCGUACCUAAAUACUACCACAAGUAAGCAAGUAGAGAAUACGGG
rnacentral:rRNA from 1 species